AGGAAUUCCAAAUCACACCCAAAAAGAGAAAUGUUUUUCUGUUUACAUUUGAUCAUGAACUUGAUACUCAAAUGUGUUGCGAAAUACCACUUUGUGUGUUCAUAAUCAAUUGUUGGUGCUCCAGGAAUGGUUCUCUCACAUUCCUUUCAAUGAUAUGGAGUUCACCCAAUAGCCUUUUUGGUUACAAAUCCAUGGCUUGGCUCCUAACUAGUAGAACAUGGAAAAUGCCAGGAUGAUUGGAGAUUUGGUGGGCAAAUUCUUGGAUGUUGAUCUCACGGAAGACGAGAUGUUGGGCUAUCUAAUCUUCGUGCGAGUAAGAACUCUUCUUUCUUUGGACAAGCCUCUUCUCCCAUGACUUCAAAAUAGGAAACAAGACGGUUCCCAGCAAUGGGUUUAGUUGAAAUAUGAGAAAUUGCCCAAUUUUUGUUAUCGAUACGGAAUUAUUGGCCAUUUCAAUAAAGAUUGUCCUUUGACAAAAGAUGAAGGAGAAAAUGAGAAGCAUGAUGAUAAUCUUCCUUUUGGACCUUGGCUAAAGACAAACCCAGUUAAUCGCAAUAUAAACCCACUUAAUCUUAAUUGCUCGCAAAAUUCUUCUCCUUCCAAAACCACCCAAGAUCAAACACCACACCUUCAUCUUACCUCUCCCACCGAUACGAUACUCUCGCCACCUCAGAAGGAACCAGGACAGUCCUCGCAAAUGCCUAUCA
rnacentral:misc_RNA from 1 species